rnacentral:lncRNA from 1 species
UUCUGACACCGGAAGUCAGUGAGAGGACUCUUUCCCACACAGGAAGUCAGCUAGAGAGCCGUCUCCCCUCUCUGGAGCCGAGAGAGGCCGGUUUCCCCCACCGUAGCCCACCUGGGAGGAAUUUUCCAGAGAUCACUGUCUGAUGACCCUGUCUUGGAAUUGGAGCCAUGCAAGUUACACUGACCACGUUUGGGUUGGGAUAUUGAGGAGGUUAUGGUUAAAAGCAUACGAUGGGAGAUCAUAUUGUACUUGCGAGUGAGACCCGGCUGGAGGAAUGUUUUAAUUCUUCGGAAAUACCAAGUGGUCUCUGUAAGUAACAUAGGGUGGUUAGCCAAGCAUAAUGAGACCAUUGAGGCAUCCCAGCAAGAAUUGAUCUGUUUAGAGAAGAGAUGUUGCUGCUGCUUCUUUUUUUUUAACAUUUUAUUUUUAAUUUUGCUGCCUAUGACAAGCUGCUUCUAACAGCCUCAGGGCGAGGGGCCCAUGAGUGCAAGGACAGGAGAGGGGUCUGCGAGUUCUACUUGGGUAGGGCUUGGGGCAUCAUAGGAGUGCAGGGAUCUCCUCUCUGGGAUCCAGUUUAACCCUGAUGACAUCCCCCAUGCAGCAAAUAACUCCAGGUAACCGGCAGCAGCUGGUCCACAUCAUAGUCUGUGAGAGAUUGCUCAUGUCUUGCCUGUUUUCCUACCUCUUCAUUCUAAGGAAAAGGACCCACAAUCUGAGUGCCCUGCUCUGGGACAUAGGUGGGGAACAGGCAGGGAUGGGAGGUGGGGACCACUUUCUUCUGCACCCAUUAAAUAUAUGCCUUUUUUUUUUUGAGACAGGGCCUCCCUCUGUCACCCAGACUGGAGGGCAGUGGUGCAAUCGUGGCUCACUGCUGCCUCAGUCUCCAGAUGGCUCAAGCCAUCCUCCCCCAUCAGCUGUCAAAAUACCUGGAUUUACAGGUGCAUGCCACCAUGCCCAGCUAAUUUUUUCUAUUUUUUUUUUUUUUGUAGAGAUGGGUUUUCACUAUUUUUCCCAGGCUAGUCUCCAACUUCUGGGCUCAAGCGAUCCACCCGCCUUGGCCUCCUAAGUCCUAGGAUUAUAGGUAUGAGCCACUGCGCCUGGCCUUUUUGCCUUUUGAAAGUAUCUGUUGUUAACAAUAUUCAAUUGGGUUGAAUCUUGCUAGGGACCAAGGUGAAUUUGCAUAAAUUAGUCUAUGCCAAUUUGCAUACUAUCAGCAAAUUUGUAGUGUACAGAAUUUUGGAAAUAGAAGGAAGCUAAGAGGGGUGUCAAAUGCAGCUUCUUCUUUUUUUACCUGAAAAGAUACCAAAGUCCAGCUCAGGGAAGGUCACACAGCUAAUUCUUAUCAUGGGGAGACAGACCCAGGGACAUCAUGGUGCCUCCGAGAUUAGUACGGCCCCUCAAACAUCCCCAUUUUCUGUCCCUAGCCCAUUGGAACCCCUUAAAGUUGGUCCCUCGAGCUCGGGUGAUAGCACACAUGAUGGAAAGUAGGCAGGCUUGCCAUUGAAGCUCCAACCUAGCUCUGCACCACAUCAGCUGUGUGACCUUGAGCAAAUCACUUAACCACUCUGAGCAUGGCAUUUGUAAAUGUCAAGGUAGCAACGCCCUCUUUACUGCCCUGUUGUGACAAAUAAGAUAUAUUCCAUAAAUAUGAUCCAUGUAGUAUUAAACUACCAUUUACUGAGUCUCCCCUAUGGAAAGCACUUAGUAGGUGCUCAAAAACUCCUAGUCCUUUCUUCCCCUCUUUCAAUGUGUCACUGCAUCUGGGUAAUUUAUACCCAUUUCCUGUUUUCCUUUGAGAAGUGCAUGUCAUGCUCUGCACAAAAGUGACUCUUAAUG